rnacentral:rRNA from 1 species
GGGUCAGUAGGUUGGUCGUGCCACCGGUACGUACUGGUCUCACUGAUUCCUCCUUCCUGAAGAACCGUAACGCCACUAAUUUGGUGUUGCGGGGAAACAGGACUGUUACUUUGAAAAAAUUAGAGUGUUUAAAGCAAGCUAACGCUUGAAUACAUUAGCAUGGAAUAAUGAAAUAGGACGAUCGAUCCUAUUUUGUUGGUUUCUAGGAUUGACGUA